rnacentral:rRNA from 1 species
GAUGAACGCUGGCGGCGUGCCUAAUACAUGCAAGUCGAGCGAACAGACGAGGAGCUUGCUCCUCUGACGUUAGCGGCGGACGGGUGAGUAACACGUGGAUAACCUACCUAUAAGACUGGGAUAACUUCGGGAAACCGGAGCUAAUACCGGAUAAUAUAUUGAACCGCAUGGUUCAAUAGUGAAAGACGGUUUUGCUGUCACUUAUAGAUGGAUCCGCGCCGCAUUAGCUAGUUGGUAAGGUAACGGCUUACCGAGGCGACGAUGCGUAGCCGACCUGAGAGGGUGAUCGGCCACACUGGAACUGAGACACGGUCCAGACUCCUACGGGAGGCAGCAGUAGGGAAUCUUCCGCAAUGGGCGGAAGCCUGACGGAGCAACGCCGCGUGAGUGAUGAAGGUCUUCGGAUCGUAAAACUCUGUUAUUAGGGAAGAACAAAUGUGUAAGUAACUAUGCACGUCUUGACGGUACCUAAUCAGAAAGCCACGGCUAACUACGUG